ensembl:snRNA U6 U6 spliceosomal RNA
GUGCUCACUUCAGCAGCACAUAUACUAAAAUUGGAAUAAUACAGGGAAGAUUAACAUGGCCCCUACACAAGGAUGACACGCAAAUUCGUGAAGCAUUCCAUAUUUUU